GAUGAAGAACGUAGUGAAAUGCGAUAAGUAGUUUGAAUUGCAGAAUUCAGUGAAUCAUCGAAUCUUUGAACGCACAUUGCGCCCCUUGGUAUCCCGAGGGGCAUGCCUGUUCGAGCGUCAUUUCACCACUCAAGCCUGGCUUGGUGUUGGGCGACGUCCCCUUUGGGGACGCGCCUCGAAACGCUCGGCGGCGUGGCACCGGCUUUAAGCGUAGCAGAAUCUUUCGCUUUGGAAGUCGGGGCCCCGUCUGCCGGAAGACCUACUCGCAAGGUUGACCUCGGAUCAGGCAGGGAUACCCGCUGAACUUAAGCAUAUCAAUAAGCGGAGGA
rnacentral:misc_RNA from 1 species